UGGCUGAGUUGCUCUAUGAUACCGAGGCUUCGGAUGAGAUUCUCCCUUUGUAGCAGGGCCUUCAUCCGCUCCAGCUCCUCCUCUUCCACGAUUUCUUGAGGAUGCAUGGUAUCCACGUGUACGGGGAGCAGCUGCGAGGUGUCUGGCUUCCUCUCUACCCUGCUGGCGAGCAGUUCAGCUUCAGGAUAUGCCCCCGCCCCCCAAGUGGACAGAGGACAAGGUAAGGCAAAGUACCUGGCACACUCCUCUCUAGCCUUGGAAGCAGCAGUCUCCUGGAAGAGGGAGCCGUUGUGCUUGAAGAAGGGUGCGUACUUGUCCGUGUUAGGCCCAGGAUAGAUCCGCCGGUACCCCCCGAGGUGGGAGUCCUCAUGGCGCUCCUGGUCCAGUAUCGCUGCUUGCGACAGUUCAGUUUGUUCUCGCCUAGGGAAACCAAGCUCCAGAGUGAGUCGGGAGGGCUCUGAGAAUGUUCAGUGGGGAAAAGAAGGCCGGCCAAGGCUUUGAGAACCUUCUGCUAGCUUCACGGCCUUUCUGGCCUCUGCCCACGUAGCGAGGGCUGCGAAGGCCCUCUGGCCAAUCCCGCUUGUGUGUAGCCACGGAAAUCUGGGCUUGACUUCCAGAAAUCUGGUUUUCAUCUUAAGUGCACGCUAGCACUCCAAGUUCUCACAGUCUUUUAGGUUUCUGAUCAUAGAGUAAUCUAUGUUAAUUACAGAAAAAUGUAGAAGAGCAAAAAGAAGAUAAAACCUCCCAUAAUCUUACUGUGCAGUUAGCAUAUUGGUCAUGAGCAUGGACUCAGGGGCGGGACCCCCGAGUCUGAACCCUGGCUUUGCCACCGACUACCUUCCUUUCUGGUUUCUGACAAAAAUGGGAUCAUACAACCUUGCUAAAUGGCUUCCUAGUAGUCACGUGGUUCUGUGAUUGUACUUUCAUUUAUGAAGUCCAGUAGUUGUGAACCCUUUUCCCCACUGAAAGACAUCACUCAUGAUAUAAUAGGCACAUGUGCAGCCCCACUGUGGGAAGAGCCAGCGUAUUUCCAGUGACAGUCCUGCUUCCCCUCCAUUCACACAUGAGAGCGCCUACUAUGUGCCAGGCCCUCAGGAUAUCCUAGCAAACCAAAUACACACGGGCCUGCAUAUUGCAACCCCGGUGGGGAAGAGCACUGUAAUAGGAAUGCUUCCAAUUCCACUCCAUUUGUAUGUGUUAUUUAGUAUCGGCAGCAAAUCACCGUGUUGGUAACCCAUCUUAAAACAACAGUGGGUGAAAGACGCUGAUUUAAAUAACCUCUUAUUGUUGCAUGA